AUGUGGCCACGAAAUGAUGUACACAUGGAUGAUGGAUCGAUGACACCGGAGGACCAGGAGCCUGUUACCGAUAAUGAUAUGGAAUAUAAUGACAAUGGAGAAGAAAGCUCGUACAGCAAUGGCUCUUCUUCCAGCUACAAUGCUGACAAAUUAUCGUCACCUUUGCAACACAAACUUGAUUUAUCGGCUUCUCCCUCUCGAAACAACGACCUCAAUCCGCGUGUCGAACAUUUGAUCGCAUUAUUCAAGGUAAACAUAUUGAUUGAUUGUCGCGAUCAAUCUUUCAGCGUUGCGGCUAAUACACAUGCAAUAAAUUAAUAUUUGAAUGCGACAAUAAUUAGUAACAUGACAAAACAAUGCAUUCAAGCUCCGGAUCUAUCAAGCGCGGAACAAAUGGAUGCAUUCACACGUCUGCUUCAGGAAUCCAACAUGACAAAUAUUCGACAGCUGCGUGCCAUUAUUGAACCCCAUUUCCAGCGUGAUUUCCUCUCCUGCCUCCCUGUCGAGCUCGGAAUGAAAAUCCUUCACAAUUUAACCGGAUAUGACCUGCUCAAAGUGGCACAGGUGUCGAAAAAUUGGAAAUUGAUAUCUGAAAUUGACAAAAUUUGGAAGAGUCUUGGUGUCGAAGAGUUUAAACAUCAUCCAGAUCCCACAGACCGAGUUACUGGUGCGUGGCAAGGAACUGCAAUUGCUGCUGGAGUCACUAUUCCUGAUCACAUUCAGCCAUGUGAUCUUAAUGUUCAUCGAUUUCUAAAGUUGCAGAAGUUUGGAGAUAUCUUCGAACGCGCUGCUGACAAGUCACGUUAUCUUCGAGCCGAUAAAAUUGAAAAGAACUGGAAUGCGAAUCCAAUUAUGGGGUCAGCAGUGCUACGAGGACACGAAGAUCAUGUAAUCACUUGUAUGCAAAUUCAUGAUGAUGUCUUGGUGACUGGAUCUGACGAUAACACUCUUAAAGUAUGGUGUAUUGACAAAGGAGAGGUUAUGUACACACUAGUCGGCCACACUGGAGGAGUUUGGACAUCACAGAUUUCUCAAUGCGGAAGAUAUAUUGUUAGCGGGUCCACUGAUAGAACUGUAAAAGUUUGGAGUACUGUAGAUGGUUCACUUCUUCAUACACUUCAAGGACAUACUUCCACUGUUCGAUGCAUGGCUAUGGCUGGUUCCAUACUUGUCACUGGAUCACGAGAUACCACUCUUCGUGUAUGGGACGUAGAAUCCGGACGUCACCUGGCAACUUUACAUGGCCAUCAUGCAGCCGUUCGAUGCGUUCAAUUCGAUGGAACAACUGUUGUUUCGGGAGGAUAUGAUUUUACCGUUAAAAUUUGGAAUGCUCAUACUGGGAGAUGUAUCCGUACUCUGACCGGUCAUAACAAUAGAGUUUAUUCUCUUCUCUUUGAAAGCGAGCGAUCGAUCGUGUGCUCUGGCUCUCUGGACACUUCAAUUCGCGUGUGGGAUUUUACACGACCGGAAGGCCAAGAAUGUGUGGCUCUUUUGCAAGGACACACCUCACUUACAUCCGGAAUGCAACUUCGAGGCAAUAUUCUCGUGUCAUGCAAUGCAGAUAGCCAUGUUAGAGUAUGGGAUAUUCACGAGGGAACUUGUGUACACAUGCUUUCUGGACAUCGAUCCGCUAUCACUUCACUUCAAUGGUUUGGACGAAAUAUGGUAGCAACGAGUAGUGACGAUGGAACUGUCAAAUUGUGGGAUAUUGAGAGAGGUGCACUGAUUCGAGAUCUAGUAACUUUGGAUUCUGGAGGCAAUGGUGGCUGUAUUUGGAGACUUUGUUCUACUUCUACGAUGCUAGCGUGUGCAGUCGGAUCUCGUAACAACACCGAGGAGACCAAAGUUAUCCUUCUCGACUUUGAUGCUGUAUACCCUUAA
rnacentral:misc_RNA from 1 species